ensembl:snoRNA
AUCAUGCUUGAGCGUGUAUACAGUGCAUUUGGAAAUACUUUUCCCACAUUUUGUUACAUUUUUGAAUAAGGCUGUAAUGUAUCAAAUUGUUUACUUUCCCUCAUCAAUC